rnacentral:rRNA from 1 species
AGGUGAUCCAACCGCAGGUUCCCCUACGGUUACCUUGUUACGACUUCACCCCAGUCAUGAAUCACAAAGUGGUAAGCGCCCUCCCGAAGGUUAAGCUACCUACUUCUUUUGCAACCCACUCCCAUGGUGUGACGGGCGGUGUGUACAAGGCCCGGGAACGUAUUCACCGUGGCAUUCUGAUCCACGAUUACUAGCGAUUCCGACUUCAUGGAGUCGAGUUGCAGACUCCAAUCCGGACUACGACGCACUUUAUGAGGUCCGCUUGCUCUCGCGAGGUCGCUUCUCUUUGUAUGCGCCAUUGUAGCACGUGUGUAGCCCUGGUCGUAAGGGCCAUGAUGACUUGACGUCAUCCCCACCUUCCUCCAGUUUAUCACUGGCAGUCUCCUUUGAGUUCCCGGCCGGACCGCUGGCAACAAAGGAUAAGGGUUGCGCUCGUUGCGGGACUUAACCCAACAUUUCACAACACGAGCUGACGACAGCCAUGCAGCACCUGUCUCACGGUUCCCGAAGGCACAUUCUCAUCUCUGAAAACUUCCGUGGAUGUCAAGACCAGGUAAGGUUCUUCGCGUUGCAUCGAAUUAAACCACAUGCUCCACCGCUUGUGCGGGCCCCCGUCAAUUCAUUUGAGUUUUAACCUUGCGGCCGUACUCCCCAGGCGGUCGACUUAACGCGUUAGCUCCGGAAGCCACGCCUCAAGGGCACAACCUCCAAGUCGACAUCGUUUACGGCGUGGACUACCAGGGUAUCUAAUCCUGUUUGCUCCCCACGCUUUCGCACCUGAGCGUCAGUCUUCGUCCAGGGGGCCGCCUUCGCCACCGGUAUUCCUCCAGAUCUCUACGCAUUUCACCGCUACACCUGGAAUUCUACCCCCUCUACGAGACUCAAGCUUGCCAGUAUCAGAUGCAGUUCCCAGGUUGAGCCCGGGGAUUUCACAUCUGACUUAACAAACCGCCUGCGUGCGCUUUACGCCCAGUAAUUCCGAUUAACGCUUGCACCCUCCGUAUUACCGCGGCUGCUGGCACGGAGUUAGCCGGUGCUUCUUCUGCGGGUAACGUCAAUGAGCAAAGGUAUUAACUUUACUCCCUUCCUCCCCGCUGAAAGUACUUUACAACCCGAAGGCCUUCUUCAUACACGCGGCAUGGCUGCAUCAGGCUUGCGCCCAUUGUGCAAUAUUCCCCACUGCUGCCUCCCGUAGGAGUCUGGACCGUGUCUCAGUUCCAGUGUGGCUGGUCAUCCUCUCAGACCAGCUAGGGAUCGUCGCCUUGGUGAGCCGUUACCCCACCAACAAGCUAAUCCCAUCUGGGCACAUCCGAUGGCAAGAGGCCCGAAGGUCCCCCUCUUUGGUCUUGCGACGUUAUGCGGUAUUAGCUACCGUUUCCAGUAGUUAUCCCCCUCCAUCAGGCAGUUUCCCAGACAUUACUCACCCGUCCGCCACUCGUCAGCGAAGCAGCAAGCUGCUUCCUGUUACCGUUCGACUUGCAUGUGUUAGGCCUGCCGCCAGCGUUCAAUCUGAGCCAUGAUCAAACUCU